AUGGCCAGUGAGAAAACCCACAGCAGCGUUCCUGCACGCCUCCCAGCUCCACACUCCAGGAUCAGUAGUGGGAGUUUUAUUGAUCAGUGUGGGAGGGAGGUUUUUGUACAGCCAGUAAACCAGUUUGUAUCACUGUGGAGGACUUUUGGUGGAGGAACCAAACUGUCAGUUGGAAGUGUGGCCGCGCCCACCCUCACGGUCCUGCCCCCCUCCAGCGUGGAGCUGCAGCAGGGGAAGGCCACACUCGUGUGUUUGGCCAACAAGGGCUUCCCCUCAGACUGGAGGCUGAGCUGGAAGGUGGACGGGAGCAGCUGGAGCUUGGGGGUUAGCCAGAGCCCUGGGCUUCUGCAGAAGGACGACGGCCUCUACAGCUGGAGCAGCACCCUGACCCUCCAGGAGGACCAGUGGCUAAAGAAGACAGUGACCUGUGAGGCCACCAAGGACUCCCAGACUCCUGUCAGCCAAACCCUGAGGAGAGAGCAAUGCACUGGGCAGUGAGCGUCCACGCGUGUGUUGGAGCUGCUAGAGCUCCUCUUGAUCUUCAGUGAGCUCAAACAUGGCUCUGCUUAAUGCUCUGAUCUUCAUCUCAUCACUUCAUCAUCACAAUAAAGAGCUUCAGUAU